GGAAUAUUGCACAAUGGGCGCAAGCCUGAUGCAGCAACGCCGCGUGAGGGAUGACGGCCUUCGGGUUGUAAACCUCUUUUAGCAGGGAAGAAGCGAAAGUGACGGUACCUGCAGAAAAAGCGCCGGCUAACUACGUGCCAGCAGCCGCGGUAAUACGUAGGGCGCAAGCGUUAUCCGGAAUUAUUGGGCGUAAAGAGCUCGUAGGCGGUUUGUCGCGUCUGCUGUGAAAUCCGGAGGCUCAACCUCCGGCCUGCAGUGGGUACGGGCAGACUAGAGUGCGGUAGGGGAGAUUGGAAUUCCUGGUGUAGCGGUGGAAUGCGCAGAUAUCAGGAGGAACACCGAUGGCGAAGGCAGAUCUCUGGGCCGUAACUGACGCUGAGGAGCGAAAGGGUGGGGAGCAAACAGGAUUAGAUACCCUUG
rnacentral:rRNA from 1 species